UACAGAGGUCCCAAGCGUUGUUCGGAUUUACUGGGCGUACAGGGAGCGUAGGCGGUUGGAUAAGCCCUCCGUGAAAUCUCCAGGCUUAACCUGGAAAGUGCAGAGGGGACUGUUCAGCUAGAGGAUGGGAGAGGAGCGCGGAAUUCCCGGUGUAGCGGUGAAAUGCGUAGAUAUCGAGAGGAACACCAGAGGUGAAGACGGGUUGCUGGGCCGACACUGACGCUGACAGCGCGAAAGCCAGGGGAGCAAACGGG
rnacentral:rRNA from 1 species